rnacentral:rRNA from 1 species
GACGAACGCUGGCGGCGUGCUUAACACAUGCAAGUCGAGCGGUAAGGCCCUUUCGGGGGUACGACGAGCGGCGAACGGGUGAGUAACACGUGGGUGACCUGCCCUCAGCUCUGGGAUAAGCCUGGGAAACCGGGUCUAAUACUGGAUAUGACUCCAUGACGCAUGUUGUGGGGUGGAAAGCCUUGUGCGGCUGAGGAUGGGCCCGCGGCCUAUCAGCUUGUUGGUGGGGUGAGGCCUACCAAGGCGACGACGGGUAGCCGGCCUGAGAGGGCGACCGGCCACACUGGGACUGAGACACGGCCCAGACUCCUACGGGAGGCAGCAGUGGGGAAUCUUGCGC